CCUACGGGUGGCUGCAGUGGGGAAUAUUGGGCAAUGGGCGCAAGCCUGACCCAGCAACGCCGCGUGAAGGAAGAAGGCUUUCGGGUUGUAAACUUCUUUUAUCAGGGACGAAGCAAGUGACGGUACCUGAUGAAUAAGCCACGGCUAACUACGUGCCAGCAGCCGCGGUAAUACGUAGGGGGCAAGCGUUAUCCGGAUUUACUGGGUGUAAAGGGCGUGUAGGCGGGAGUGCAAGUCAGAUGUGAAAACUAUGGGCUCAACCCAUAGCCUGCAUUUGAAACUGUUGAUCUUGAGUACUGGAGAGGCAGACGGAAUUCCUGGUGUAGCGGUGAAAUGCGUAGAUAUUAGGAGGAACACCAGUGGCGAAGGCGGUCUGCUGGACAGCAACUGACGGUGAGGCGCGAAAGCGUGGGGAGCAAACAGGAUUAGAUACCCGAGUAGUC
rnacentral:rRNA from 1 species